UGCCAGCCGCCGCGGUAAUACGGAGGGGGUUAGCGUUGUUCGGAAUUACUGGGCGUAAAGCGCGCGUAGGCGGACAUUUAAGUCAGGGGUGAAAUCCCGGGGCUCAACCCCGGAACUGCCCUUGAUACUGGGUGUCUUGAGUUCGAGAGAGGUGAGUGGAAUUCCGAGUGUAGAGGUGAAAUUCGUAGAUAUUCGGAGGAACACCAGUGGCGAAGGCGGCUCACUGGCUCGAUACUGACGCUGAGGUGCGAAAGUGUGGGGAGCAAACAGGAUUAGAUA
rnacentral:rRNA from 1 species